GCUCGGCGCACGAAAGCGUGAAGCGCAGCCGCAGGCGCCCGUCCACCAGCAGCAGCUCCAAAAAGUCGCAGUCGCCGCCGUCGUCCAGGACUUGAGCUGGCCCUGACCUGGAGAGUGUCUUGAAGCAAGAAACAUAAUCGCGGAUGGAAGCACUGGGAACCCAACACUUGGGGAGAUACAGCACCCGGAAGGGACAUUAUUGGCUUGAGAUGUGGACGGGUGGGAAAGUGACACCUUGGAAUUCAGUAGGAGUCCAAUCCUGCUGGCCUCACACUGACCCCUCAAAAGACCCAGGCGUCAGGACCAAGGCCAGCUCCUGGGAGUGAGACCUAGGAUCUCUCCAACAGGUGACCCCACCCCCUUCUUUUUUAAAUCACCCAACCUCUGUGCGGUGGCUCCCACCUCUAGCCAGGGAUCACUCGCUCUCUCUCAUCAGCUCUUGAUGCUGGAUAAUGAAGUUGCUAAAUAAUUCAUUGAGAUUAAUUAAAUGCCAAUUCGUCAA